GCGGGCUUAGCUCAGUUGGUAUAGCACCUGAUUUGUAAUCAGGGGGUCGGGGGUUCAAAUCCCUCAGCCGGCACCA
rnacentral:tRNA from 1 species